GAAACCUAUACUUUGAAAGGUAUGGCUACAGCAAGUGAAAAAUACAGCCUAAUUUCCUUUUAAGAUUGGAAGCCAUCUCAUCACAAAGGCAUGAAAAGUUAAUUUCUGCUUCAUUAUAAACUACCAUGAUUUGUAAACUUGCUUGAAAUGCCUACCAGUGCCUUGAACUCACCCAUGUCUGGUUUUCCCUGAUGAGAUAACAACCCUCCCUGAAACUUUAGUGAUGGCUCAUAAAUUCUGGCUUUCCCUGACCAAAUAACAACUCACUCUGAAACUUUAGUGGUGCAUCAUACAUUCUGAUGUUGUGAUCUAAAUUUACUCCCUAAGUGCUAAACCAUUUAGACCAUUAACCUACUACAUGCCUUUGUAUUAUGCUUGUCAAAACCCUGUUAUCCGUGUAAGUUCUCAAGUCACCCCGCUUUUGCAACUUUUUGUGCUAUGAAACUGCAGUCCUAUAGAACUGGCGUGCUGUCUUCUUUUCCCAUGGGUUUCAGGAGAGACUGUUAUGCUCAAAUGCGGGACCCCCAAAAGACCACCAGAGACCAAGAUAGAUGUAUGCAGCAAAUAGGUGUUUAUUGUGAGCUAGCUCAGUCCUCCACACACACAGAAACUGGUGGCUUAGAGGCCCUGAGCCCCGGGUUUGCAGCAGUUUUAUAACUCUUUGGGGAAGGCAGGUACCCCACAUACAUCAUAGCAUCUCUUAGCAAAUCAUCACACACCUUGGGAAAAUCAUAAAGAACUCUAAACCAUGAUUAGCACAUUCACUGGUGGGAACAAGUUGGGUAAGGGUGAUUGGUUAGUACAAGAUGGGGAUUCAUUUGAACUGAUUGGCUUAGGCCAUGAGGGGAGUAUGUGUUGAACUAUAUGAUUUCCCAAAAUGUUAUCAACCACCAUAAAGUACUGGGAAGGUCAUCUAGCAUCUCAGGUAUUUUCCCUGUCUCAUGCUGAUUGGUGGCUGCUAGGGGGUUGCUAUGGAUCCCCACCUAGCCUGACUGAGUCAGGGACACCAGGCACAGCAGAUCUCUCCUUUUAUUUGUAGAUAAACAACUCAGCAGGGUGGGUAUGAGCCUAGGAGUGCUCUGUGGGUCUUUGCAAGUACAAGAGUCAUGCCCCCUUCCUUGGACAGUCUUUGCUCUGAGGUAGAGGUUGGUUUCUCACCUUGUACCUUAUGGUUUUUUUAAUGUAUUUUUUUUAAGCUGUAGCUGGACACAAUACCUUUAUUUCACUUAUUUAUUUUUAUGUGGUACUGAGGAUUGACCCCAGGGUCUUGCACAUGAGAGGUGAGCACUCUACUGCUGAGCCACAAUCCAGCCCCUUAUGUGUUGUUUUUAUUGGG
rnacentral:lncRNA from 1 species